CCAUGGACUCAGUGCUCUCAGGAGAAAGUGAAGACAUUUUCCCAUGAACAUUUCCCAUUUCCAUGUACUUUGGUGCCUUCUGCUCUAAGUUAGCUCGCAGGGGGACGGUGGCCAAACCAACCUGCGAGAGGCCAACAGCCAUAAAAUCAUCAUGCCCAAGUGGGACUUCUCCAGGUGCAUCGAAGCAGAAUUCUACCAUUUACUUUUGAGCAGCUUUGGCUCCUUAAUGAAAGAUUAUACUUUGUUAUGAACAUCCUGUGGGGUUUUUUUUUUUUUUUUUUGCAUCAGAGGCGUUUCCCAGUUCUCUUGUUCCUGGUUUUAUUAAUUUUAUAACCAUCUCUGAACUGAAGGAAUUAAUGGUUGAGACUACCAGAAGUAUGAAUUUAGGAAACCAAUAGGUGGGAAUGUGUUUUUGUUUUUACACGAAGAGUUAAGAAGAACCUGGCCAUGUUUUUAGCUCUGCCUUUAAAGUGACUCUAAGACUUUGAACUUCAGCUGGACUAGAACCUGUCUACCUCACCUGGUUGUUAUAAGAACUAAAUGAGAUAAGGAGUGUGCAAAAGUGCUGUCUUUUAACCACUGCACAAACCUUCUGCAAAUGGAAGGAAGCUUUAUGUUAGCUAAAGUUACGUACUAAUUUCUCCAAUGGAUGUAAAAGUUGUGCAGUACAGGCUGAACCACAGCACGCUUGCACCUGAACUUGAAACUCUGGGCAAAGGGAGUGAAUGAACAUGACUGGGGAGCUGGCUUUUGGUGCUUGGUUGUAAUUUUAGUUGCUUUUCACAAAUCAUGAUACUGACAGCUCUCAUUUAUGGAGUACUUGCUAAAUGGAAAGCACUUGGACAAGUGCUUUAUAUGCCAUAAUUCAUCUAACCCUCCUAAAAUCCUAUCGUCUCCAGCUGAAAGAUGUGGACACAGGUGAUGACCCCGAGUAAUUGCUCCAGGAUCCACACGUACCACAGAGGAGCUGAGAUCUAAACCCAGGCCACUGGUUCUAGAACCUGUGCUCCCCACCCCUGUAUCAUUGGCCUCUUCCCACAAAGACUCAUUUCAGAAAGUCGAAUAUCGUGCACAAACAGCACCAGGCUCCAAAACCACUGCAGGGAGGACGCCAAUAAGCUGGAGAUGGGACAGGUCCUAACGCUGGUGGUACGGGCUCCGCUGUCGUAUCCUGCAGGCGCACAAGCAACCCACCGGCAGAGGAAAAGCUGUGGAAAGUCACCCGGAUCGCAAGCCCUGGCUCGCGUGACCCGACCCCAGGAGAACAGCCCAGUUACCCGGACA